rnacentral:lncRNA from 1 species
AGACGGAAGAACGGUGAGCCACCCGAACUCACCGCCCGUAUGGUUGGCAAGAACAUAUUAUUAUUUGGUCGUUUUCGUUGGUAAAAGUCGCACUUCAAAAAUGCGUUUAUUUACAUGCAAAUUCUGUGUUGUAUAAAUGGAUCCAUCUGUAUCUGUGGAUCUGUAUUAUCUAUAUCUGAAAAGUCAGCUGUCAUCUGACUGAUUUUCUGUUGUCAUUCUGACAUUUGGCGUUGUGACGUGACGUGUUGUAUUUUUCGGCAAAAUUAUCCACAACUUAUUUAUGAAAAUAAAUUCAAAUAUUGAAACAAACACUCUAUUGUCGGCAUUGAAAGCAUAAUCAUGCGGAAACUAAAGGGAGCAGUUAAAGAAACAGCUAGACAAAAGCGAGAGCGGAAACAAGAGUUUGCCAAAAUGCGACAACAAAUUCAUACAGUUGUUUUGCCUACUUUCGCGGUAAUUUUUCUGUUAAUUUGCGUAUACGUGUACCUAAAAACCAGGCCGACAGCGAUGCAGUACGCGUAACAUAGGUAGCUCUAAGGUGUGUGAAAAUUGUACAUAGUAAUUAUAUAUGCCAUCAGUUUAUAUUGGUUUGAGAAAAUGUAUUUAUUAAUGUUAUAAGGUUGUGAGCCGAAGUAUAUGUAACAUAUUAACUGUGCUGAGUACUUAUUGUCACAGUAUUCCCCUACUUGUAAUUAUUGAAGUGUGCUCUAUACAUUCCACUUUAUUCGUCCACAUAUCAAUAUUAUUUUUGACAUACAAAUAUGCCAAAAUUAAUGUAAAUAAUAGAAUAAAGUUAUUAAAUUAUGUGA